AGUGAACGCUGGCGGUAGGCCUAACACAUGCAAGUCGAACGGCAGCACAGUAAGAGCUUGCUCUUACGGGUGGCGAGUGGCGGACGGGUGAGGAAUACAUCGGAAUCUACUUUUUCGUGGGGGAUAACGUAGGGAAACUUACGCUAAUACCGCAUACGACCUACGGGUGAAAGCAGGGGAUCUUCGGACCUUGCGCGAUUGAAUGAGCCGAUGUCGGAUUAGCUAGUUGGCGGGGUAAGGGCCCACCCAGGCGACGAUCCGUAGCUGGUCUGAGAGGAUGAUCAGCCACACUGGAACUGAGACACGGUCCAGACUCCUACGGGAGGCAGCAGUCGGGAAUAUUGGACAAUGGGCGCAAGCCUGAUCCAGCCAUACCGCGUGGGUGAAGAAGGCCUUCGGGUUGUAAAGCCCUUUUGUUGGGAAAGAAAAGCAGCAGGUUAAUACCCCGCUGUUCUGACGGUACCCAAAGAAUAAGCACCGGCUAACUUCGUG
rnacentral:rRNA from 1 species